GCUGAGGACAGAGGCAGGGGCUUAGGCAAGUACCCUACUUCCAGUCAUUAGUCAGAGUGAGGGAGAAUGGUGAAAGCCCCUUAGGGUGAAGGACUAUCUGGGAACUCCCAGCCUCCUAUGCCCCACAGAGUGCCAGCAGGCCAGCAGGAGGGAGGAGAGAGGCAAGGAAACAAGGAUGGAGGUCACUAGAGAUGGGUAGCUCAGUUCCCUUUUCCUGCUGGAGCCUCUCCCCAGAUUGAAAUCCGUGGUGGGAUAUAACAAUUUCUCACCUUGUAGGGCUUUGCAGGCACCAUGAAAAAGACAUGUAGGUAAGGCUGCACCAAUGAGGCCGUCACAAAGGAAAACAUCUUGACUAGAAACUAUAAAGCAGAUACCAAAACUGUUAACAAUAACACCCACUCCAGGGCAAUAGAGAGGAUGGAGACAGGGAACGUUUCGCUGAAAAGGAUCCACGUGAAGUAAAAAGAAUUGGCAACAUAUCACUUGUGACUGCUGGUUUCUCAAAACUGUUACCUUUCGUUAGAGCAACUGGGCCAAAGUAGUUUGUCUCCAUGACCCUCUUGUCCACAUCCACUGUGGUGUCCAUGAUGGUACCACGGUAGCUGAUCCCAGCAUUGUUGACAAGUAUGUCCACA